rnacentral:lncRNA from 1 species
AUACAAAAGUACAACUAUUAAUGAAACAAAUAAAAAUUUAUAUAUUCAGGAAAAUAAAAAUCGAAAUAUAACAAGUCCUACAUCUACAGGUGAUACAAAUUGUAACACCACUAAUGUUAUGACUACAAGUAAAGGCAACAUAACUACUAAAACAAAUACUACUACUACUACUACUACCACUAUACCCACCAUCGAUUUAAAACAUAAAAUACCAUCCAACAUAGACAAAAAUAAUAUACUUAAAAGUAAAAAAGCUAAUAAAAUAAAUGAAUAUAUUCAAAGUAUGAAUUUUAACAGUAACACUAACAAUGGCAACAAUGGUAAUAAUGGCAACAAUUGCAAUAAUGGCAACAAUUGCAAUAAUGGCAACAAUAGCAAUAAUGGCAACAAUGGCAAUAAUGGCAAUGAUGGAAAUAACAAUAAUGAUCAUAAUACGGCUAACAAUAAAAAGACUAGAACUGCAACUAAUGUAACAGUUCAAGCCAAUACAAAUAUUGUUACUAAUAAUAUUACCCCAAAUGUUAACAUAUAUAAAAUGAAUAUAACCGAUAAUAAUGAUGGAAGUAGAAAAAUUAAUUUUAAAAAUAACACGAACAAGAACAAUGUUAUUUUACCUACUACUCCUAUGGCUACUACUCCUAUAACUACUGCUGCUAUACCUACCACUACAGCUACUAAAAUGACAACAAAAACAGAUACCGAAAUGUGUAUCGAAAAUAGUGCGAAUAAUGAUAAGGACAGAUGUAAUAUAACUACAAAUAAUGAUCAUAUAAUUUCAACCAUAUUGUGGAAUAUAAAUAAAAUAUCUUUAUUAUACUCGAGUGGAAAUAAUUUUGUUGUAUCACCUGAAUUUAAGACUGAUACAAUUAUUGACGAUUUUUUUAUUUUACUUAAUAUUAAUUCUGGAGAUAGUAUUACUGAUGGUAUGACUUCUGGUACUGGUUAUAGUAAUAUACUUUACAAUAAUAAUAACACUACUACUACAACAGAUGGUAAAAAUAAUAAUAACACUACUACUAACAUAGCUACUAAUACAACUACUAACAUAACUACUAAUACAGUUACUAAUACAGUUACUAAUACAAACAUAAUAAAUUGUGAAGAUCUUUUUUCCGAUAACAGUUCAUUUGAUUUAUUAUUUUCUUAUACUGGUUAUUGUGACAUAAUCUUUUCAGUAACAUGUGGUUUAUAUAAAACAAAAAUAAAUUCGUUAACACAUAAUUCUUUUCCAUGGUUUGGAAUACAUAAUGUAGGCAUAUUAAAAAAUUGUAUAAAAAAUGAUAGUAUUUCAAUAAAAAUAGAUAUACAUGAUAUUAAAAAAAAAAUAGAAAUGAAAAAGAAACUAACUUUAUAAAUAAUAUAACUACAGAACUAAAAAAUAAAAAAGGAGAUAGUAAUCA